CAAUAGCGUAUAUUAAAGCUGUUGCGGUUAAAAAGCUCGUAGUUGGAUUUCUGUCAAGGACAACUGGUCCGCCCUCCGGGUGAGCACAUAGUUUGGUCUUGGCAUCUUGUUCAAAACUGUUACUGCGCUUGGUUGUGUGGUGCAGUUUUGGGCACUUUCACUUUGAGGAAAUUGGAGUGUUUCAAGCAGGCACAUGCCUUUGGACACAGUAGCAUGGAAUAAUUAGAUUGGGCUUUUGCUCCAACUUGUCGGUUCCUGGAGCUGAGGUGAGAAUCAAUGGGGAUGGUUGGGGGCAUCUGAAUUUAGCCGUCAGAGGUGAAAUUCUUGGAUCUGCUAAAGACGGACAACUGCGAAAGCGUUUGCCCAGGAUGUUUUCAUUGA
rnacentral:rRNA from 1 species